AGCAGCCGCGGUAAUUCCAGCUCCAAUAGCGUAUAUUAAAGUUGCUGCAGUUAAAAAGCUCGUAGUUGAAUUUCGGGACUAAUAUGUCGGUCGUGCCUCGGUACGUACUGGCUUAUUGGUUUCUCCUUUCUGAAGAACCAUGAUGUCAUUUAUUUGGUGUCGUGGGGAAUCAGGACUGUUACUUUGAAAAAUUAGAGUGUUUAAAGCAGGCUCACGCUUGAAUACAUUAGCAUGGAAUAAUGAAAUAGGACGUUUGAUUCUAUUUUGUUGGUUUCUAGGAUCGACGUAAUGAUUAAUAGGGAUAGUUGGGGGCAUUAGUAUUCAAUUGUCAGAGGUGAAAUUCUUGGAUUUAUUGAAGACUAACUACUGCGAAAGCAUUUGCCAAGGAUGUUUUCAUUAAUCAAGAACGAAAGUUAGGGGAUCGAAGACGAUCAGAUACCGUCGUAGUCUUAACCAUAAACUAUGCCGACUAGGGAUCGGAUGAUGUUAAUUUUUAAUGACUCAUUCGGCGCCUUACGGG
rnacentral:misc_RNA from 1 species